CCUACGGGUGGCAGCAGUGGGGAAUAUUGGGCAAUGGGCGCAAGCCUGACCCAGCAACGCCGCGUGAAGGAAGAAGGCUUUCGGGUUGUAAACUUCUUUUCUCAGGGACGAAGCAAGUGACGGUACCUGAGGAAUAAGCCACGGCUAACUACGUGCCAGCAGCCGCGGUAAUACGUAGGUGGCAAGCGUUAUCCGGAUUUACUGGGUGUAAAGGGCGUGUAGGCGGGAAAGCAAGACAGUUGUGAAACCACGGGCUCAACCUGUGGCCUGUAUUUGAAACUGUUUUUCUUGAGUACUGGGGAGGCAGACGGAAUUCCUAGUGGAGCGGUGAAAUGCGUAGAUAUUAGGAGGAACACCAGUGGCGAAGGCGGUCUGCUGGACAGCAACUGACGCUGAGGCGCGAAAGCGUGGGGAGCAAACAGGAUUAGAUACCCUGGUAGUC
rnacentral:rRNA from 1 species